GUGUUUUUCUCACUUCUCUUUCCCUGGCUUUUUGGUAGGUAUUCCAUAUUUGACAUAUUUGACCCUUUAGGGCAUUCCUUGAGUUAUCUAACCUCAGUCCCUUACUGCAAUGAACAUUUUCUUUCUUUUCUUUUUCUGUUAUGCUCGGCCCAAUUGCCUCACUACCACCCUUUUCUUUGAGACAGGGUCGUCCUGCAUAGCCUGGACUUUCAGCAAACUGCCGAUCCUUCUGCCUUCCUCUCUGAGUCCCGGCAUGACAGGUGUGAGCUACUCAGCCAAUCUCUCUUUGCUGCUUCUUUUUCUGCAAGAACAGAACCUCCUCUACCUCCUGCCCAUUGUAAAGCCUUCUGGCCUAGAAUGGCCACUGGAGAAGAAAGCCAGCAGAGAUGGAUAAACCACAUUCAGGCCUUGUGCCACAGCCACAGCUGCCAUGCCAUUUCUAUUGGCACGAGCCAUGAAGGCUGCCAGGAACCCGCCCUGCCCAGGGAACAUGUUUCAAGAGCACAGCAGGGCCGGGAGAGCUGCACUCAGUGAGACGAAGACAGAGCCAAGACACAGAAGCAGCUCUGGGCAAGAUGGAGAAGACCCAUCUGUCCAGAACCACCUGCCCUCAGAGGUCCAUCAGUUUCAGCAUUCUCCGAAGCUGCCUGGAGAGGAAAGCAGAAGUCUUAUACUUGGCCAGCUUGCGUAGGACCCGUAGGUGAAAGAGAUACACCUCCAUCCAGUCUCAGCCCCAGAGCCUUCUGGUAUCCGCCGGAGAACUGGCCACGCCAGGACCAUCCUAGACAUACUGUCUCAUUAACACUAAGAAGGUGUGUUCUCCACGACUGUCUCAAGUGUUAAGGGACAGAGCCAGGACAAGACAGCAGUAGUGAGACGCUCAGUUUCUUCUCUCUCUACAAGGCCAAGGUGCCUCUCACAGGCCAGCGGAGACAGGAAGGAAGAAGGAACAUAUAAAUCCAGCUGUCGCAAAGGAGAGCAGAAGACAGAGAAAACACCAUUCCCCUCUUCAAACCAAAACAAACACACUCCGGGGCUGCUGAUUCAACAUGAAUCUGUGGAAUGCAGGGAGAUGCCUGGUGGGAGUACCCCCCACUGCUUCCGGGUGGGCGCUGGCCCCCGAGGCUUAGGACAGCGCCUCGUCUGUCUUCCACCACCGCCCGGUCCUCUAAGGGUCAGAGAGAACCUCUGGACAGCUCCAAACGCCCGGCCUCUUCAUCGCCUCACUCGGCAAGGCCAAGCCCUUGAGAAGCAGUCCGGCCUGCUUCUGCAGAGGGCGUGGCUGCUUGUGACCCCAGGCUAAAUGAGAAGGGUAAUGGGGGCUUAAACGCAUCUAUUCCGGGGGGUCCUCCCCAGGAGGAAGGGAAGAGGGAUGCAAUAGGUGUUUAUUUUACAGAGUUCUCCCAGCCCAGGAGAGAAGCUAACGUUAGGUACUGGAUUCUCAGGGCGCUGAACAACAAGAGACCCUACUUGUGCUCGCCAAAGAGGUCUGAGUCGCGAAGCGGCCGCGUCUAGACAGGUUCUGGCCAAGUCAGCACUUGCCAUGAUUACUGCCCCUCAUCCUCCACUUCCCGCCAAGCCCCACAAUCGGAGGGCCGCCCCCCUUAAUCCGGGCUCACAAGGAAAGGCCGGCAGAGUCAGGCCUGGAAGUCAGCGGGCCCUGGUCUCGUCUCUGACCUAGCUCAGGUCAGGUAUCCGGGCACAUACCCUCUUCAGCAUCCCACCUCGCCGCCGCCGGGCUGACUUACAGGUAGC